AUGCCGCCGUCUCACUGCUCGCCUUCGGCGAACGUAGCUAGCAGCACCCGAGCUAGGCGCCCUAUGGAUCCCCCUCUCCUCUUCCACGGGACCACAACCAACAGCUCCCAUCCUCAUCGCGAGCCCCUCCCCCCCGCAUCGCCAUCGCCAUCACGACCGGAGCUGCUCCCCAUCGCCAUACCUUACUGCAGCAGCAUAAGAGCUGCGGCCCACUUCCUCUACCAGCAUCGGAGCUGCGCCAAUCUUCUUCUCGCGACACCGGAGCCCCGCAUUUUUUCUCCAUGGCCGAUGACUGGUGUUGCUUGCCGCCUCCAACCUUCCGCCAGCAGCAGCACAAUGGCUCCACCCUCUACCUCCUACUCCGAUGAACGGCAGCAGCUAGACACGCCAUCCCUUCUCCAGGUUGAUGUGUGCUGCUUAGAUGGAACCUUGGCAGGGCCGUUGUUCCCAGCGAUGCAUCAACUGGUCGCAGCAACCACCAAGAAGACACCCAACUCCCGCAUCCCGAACUACCCGAGCCUGCCGUCGCAGCUGCUGUGUCAAGUCCACAACAUCACCAUGCAUGCUGACAAGGACGCUAACGAGGUCUACGCAUAG
rnacentral:rRNA from 1 species